rnacentral:rRNA from 1 species
AUGGCCUUCCUCAGAACCCUAAACCCCCUCCUCCGCAGGAACCCCGCCCUCCCGAAUCCGAGGCCUCUCUUCUCCCACUACACGCUCUCCGCCCCCUUCCGCGCCGCCGCCCCUCCCGCCCCCGCCCCCUUCGCCGCCGCGGCCGCGGCCGCGCACCCCCGCGUCCUCGGCCGCCCCCGCAGCGGGCCGCUGCUCCCCUCCUCGUCCCCAUGGGCGCUCUCGCGGUCCGCCACGCCGUUCACCACCGCCGCCGCUUUCCGCUCGAAGCUCCACAGGGCUCGCGCCAUUGCCGGCGGCGGUGCGCAGGCUCUCGCGGACGCGGUGCGGUGGGAGCCCAAGCGGGUCUACGGAGGCGAGGCUGCGGGUCCGGGUGGAGGCGAGAAGUUUCUGAAUCUGCCCAAUUUGGUGUCGAUCGGGCGCAUGGCGUCGGGUCCGCUCAUUGGAUGGAUGAUUAUGAAUGAAUGGUAUCUUCCUGCUUUUGGCACAUUAGCUUUGUCUGGUGCAAGUGAUUGGUUGGAUGGUUUUUUAGCAAGAAAGAUGGGCAUCAAUUCUGUAAUUGGUUCAUAUCUGGACCCAUUGGCUGACAAGGUGUUGAUUUGCUGUGUUGCUGUAGCAAUGGUUGAGAGGGAGCUCUUACAUCCUGGCCUUGUUGGCCUGGUGGUUGCAAGAGACUUUCUCCUGGUGGGUGGGGCUUUCUACAAACGAGCAUCCAGCCUGGGAUGGAAGUGGAAUAGUUGGUCAGACUUUUGUAAUUUGGAUGCAAUUCAGCGUGAGAAGGUUCAACCUCUUUUCAUCAGCAAGGUAAAUACAGUAUUUCAGUUGAUGUUGGUUGCUGGCGCACUCCUUCAGCCAGAAUUCGGCACAGAGGAGACUCGGAAUUAUAUUACAUACUUGGGUUGGCUGGUUGCUACUACUACAAUGGCAUCCACAGUAGGUUAUGGUGUGAAAUACUAUCAGUUAAGACCGAGGACAUGA